GGUUUUUUUUCGCCUAUAGAACGCCGUCAUGGGGUGUCGGGGGUCGAAGGUUCAAAUCCUUUCAUGCCGACCA
rnacentral:tRNA from 2 species